UAUCAUAACCUAACAUUUAGUGUCUGUGAAGAAGUUUUACAUGACUAUGGAAGUGAAUCACUUAAGUUCAGCUAAUGGUGAUGAACCAGAGAAAGUUCAGAAUCUUGUUCAGCAACUUGGCGAGAUGAAUUUGAAUGCUGGAGCUCUUUGGAGAAAGUAUGAACUCCGCACAAUGAGGUUAUCUUAGGAACUGGCCGAGCAGCUACGUUUAGUCAUGGAACCUACACUGGCUAGCAAGCUUCAAGGGGAUUACAGGACUGGCAAAAGGAUUAAUAUGAAGAAAGUGUUUGUCUUUGUUUGGAUUUUAGGGUAUGCUACCGAUACUCUUUCUUACGUGGGGAUUGGUGGCCUUUUGGCACGGGCAUUGAACAUCCAAGUUAUUUAGUCCUGACAAGGCAUUGAACUUUCCUCUACAAGCUCUUGCGCCGAGCAAAAAUCUCUGGAAUGCAGCUUACAACAGUCAAGUUGAACCAAGGAAGCACUGAACAUAAAGGCCAAGGGUUAAAAUUUCAAGGUUCUAACUGUGAUGCUCGCAGAGGGGCCUACAGAAGAAGUCAUGUAUAUGAGUGUAGGUGCAGAUCAUUUGGUCCCCUGCCAAUGCCGGUUUCAUGAAUGUUCAACAUCCAGAAGAAUUUUUUAUAGAAAUGAUUGCGAUGGUAGGUUAAGAAUAAAAAUAUGUUUUGUAGUGUAAGUGGUUGAUAUUAAUUUUGUUGUAGGGUAAUGUAAAUAUGUACAAUACAGGUGCUAGAUGAUAAAACUAUGGAUGCUAAUACCAAUUCGUUGUAAAUAAUGUAAUUUAUUUAUUUUGAAAAAUAAAAUUGUGUAUUUGCAGGGCGCUCUGUUUAGAAA